rnacentral:rRNA from 1 species
CGAGACCUCAGGUCAGACGGGGCUGGCCGAUGAGUGGAAGCA